rnacentral:rRNA from 1 species
CCUACGGGUGGCUGCAGUGAGGAAUAUUGGUCAAUGGUCGCGAGCCUGAACCAGCCAAGCCGCGUGAAGGAUGACUGUCCAACGGGUCGUAAACCUCUUUUGUCAGGGAAUAAAGUCUGGCACGCGUCCCCUUUUGUGUGUACCUUAUGAACCAGCAUCGGCUAACUCCGUGCCAGCAGCCGCGGUAAUACGGAGGAUCCGAGCGUUAUCCGGAUUUAUUGGGUUUAAAGGGUGCGCAGGGGGGUUGUUAAGUCAGCUGUCAAAGCCCGGGGCUCAACCCCGGGACUGCAGUUGAUAUUGGCAGUCUGGAGUGCGGGAGAGGUAGGCGGAAUGCGUGGUGUAGCGGUGAAAUGCAUAGAUAUCGCGAAGAACUCCGAUUGCGAAGGCAGCAUGCCGGAUUGAAACUGACGCUGAGGCACGAAAGCGUGGGUAUCGAACAGGAUUAGAUACCCGGGUAGUC